UCAAUAAGCGGAGGAAAAGAAACUAACAAGGAUUCCCCUAGUAACGGCGAGUGAAGAGGGAAGAGCCCAAGAUUGAAAGCUGGCGUCUUCGGCGUCCGCAUUGUAAUCUCAAGAAGUGUUUUCCGCUUCGGACCAUGCCUAAGUCCCUUGGAAAAGGGCAUCAUAGAGGGUGAUAAUCCCGUACAUGGCAUGGAGCGCCCGAAGCUUUGUGAUACGCUUUCUAAGAGUCGAGUUGUUUGGGAAUGCAGCUCAAAAUGGGUGGUAAAUGCCAUCUAAGGCUAAAUAUUGGGGAGAGACCGAUAGCGAACAAGUACAGUGAUGGAAAGAUGAAAAGAACUUUGAAAAGAGAGUUAAACAGUACGUGAAAUUGCCAAAAGGGAAGGGUAGGAGGUCAGAGAUGCGUUCUGGGAUUCAGCCUUGCUUUUGCUUGGUGUUUUUCCCAAAUUGCAGGCCAACGUCGGUUUUGGGCGCUGGAGAAGGGUGGAAGGAACGUGGCACCCCUCGGGGUGUGUUAUAGCCUUCUACUGGAUACAGUGACCGAGACCGAGGACAGCAGCGUACUCGCAAGAGCGGGCCUUCGGGCACCUUUACGCUUAGGGCGUUGGCAUAAUGGCCCUCUACCACCCGUCUUGA
rnacentral:rRNA from 1 species